rnacentral:rRNA from 1 species
AAUGGAGGCAACUCUGACCCAGCCAUGCCGCGUGCAGGAAGAAGGUCUAUGGAUUGUAAACUGCUUUUAUUUGGGAAUAACCUAGGUACGUGUACCUAGCUGAAUGUACCAAACGAAUAAGCACCGGCUAACUCCGUGCCAGCAGCCGCGGUAAUACGGAGGGUGCAAGCGUUAUCCGGAAUCAUUGUGUUUAAAGGGUCCGCAGGCGGAUUUAUAAGUCAGUGGUGAAAGCCUACAGCUUAACUGUAGAACUGCCAUUGAUACUGUAAGUCUUGAAUUCGGUCGAAGUGGGCGGAAUAUGUCAUGUAGCGGUGAAAUGCUUAGAUAUGACAUAGAACACCGAUAGCGAAGGCAGCUCACUAGGCCUGGAUUGACGCUCAGGGACGAAAGCGUGGGGAGCGAACAGGAUU